rnacentral:misc_RNA from 1 species
UGCAUGAAGCCGGGCAGUGGUGG